rnacentral:rRNA from 1 species
GAUGAACGCUGGCGGCGUGCCUAAUACAUGCAAGUCGAGCGAACAGACGAGGGGCUUGCUCCUUUGACGUUAGCGGCGGACGGGUGAGUAACACGUAGGUAACCUACCUAUAAGACUGGGAUAACUUCGGGAAACCGGAGCUAAUACCGGAUAAUAUUUCGAACCGCAUGGUUCGAUAGUGAAAGAUGGCUUUGCUAUCACUUAUAGAUGGACCUGCGCCGUAUUAGCUAGUUGGUAAGGUAACGGCUUACCAAGGCAACGAUACGUAGCCGACCUGAGAGGGUGAUCGGCCACACUGGAACUGAGACACGGUCCAGACUCCUACGGGAGGCAGCAGUAGGGAAUCUUCCGCAAUGGGCGAAAGCCUGACGGAGCAACGCCGCGUGAGUGAUGAAGGUCUUCGGAUCGUAAAACUCUGUUAUUAGGGAAGAACAAACGUGUAAGUAACUGUGCACGUCUUGACGGUACCUAAUCAGAAAGCCACGGCUAACUACGUG